AGAUAGAGUACAAACUCCUUGGGAACAGAGUGUUUUUUAUGCUGCUAUGUGCCUAGUGCCUAGAGUAGUACCUGGCAUAGAGUAGGACUCACUACAUAUUUGACGAGUGGAUGAAUGACUGUCUCCUGUACCUUAUUUCUGGAGCCACAACCUGCCCUUGUUAUAACAGAUGAAGGAAAAGGUGGGAGAAACCAAUCAUCUGGAAGACCCUCUGAGAUGCCUUGGAGUCACACACCAUUGUUCUUAUUGACAGAUCAGUCCUGAGUCUCCAAUAAAGGUAGUUACUGCUCCUGUCUCUAUUGCUCUGAUGAGGACACUGGUUCAGAGAGGUUGUGCUUCUUGAA